rnacentral:rRNA from 1 species
GACGAACCGUGCGAACGUUAUUCGGAAUCACUGGGCUUAAAGCGCGUGUAGGCGGGCCGGCACGUCGGUCGCUGAAAUCCCCCGGCUCAACCGGGGAAGGGGCGCCGAUACGGCCGGCCUGGAGGGACGUAGGGGGGGCUGGAACUUCCGGUGGAGCGGUGAAAUGCGUUGAGAUCGGAAGGAACGCCCGUGGCGAAAGCGAGGUCCUGGACGCCUACUGACGCUGAGACGCGAAAGCCAGGGGAGCGAACGGG